ACGGUUACGUAAAUUUAAACAGUGAAUAAGUUAAAUAUGGAAUAUAAACAACAAAAACGUUAUUUACUUUUAACGAUAUAAUUGCAUACUCUUUGACCAUUACAUAACACAAUCUUUGACAUUCAUAAUCUGUGACAGAAUUGUAGACAGAUGAUAGUUGUAAAUUCAAAUUUGUAAAAAAUAAACAUGCAAUAAUUUCAAACAAUAAAAAUUAAUAUGCUUUUAAUUUUUUGCAAACAAUAAAUGCAGUCACAGACAUAAUGCGUCUAUUCGCUGACAAACGACUUCCCUAUCACAUGAAUUACGAGUUACAAUCUAUCAAGAUCGGGAAAUGGAAGUAUUGAGCAAUGGCAUGUUGCUAUCAGAGUACAAUGAAUAAAUAAUUAAAUUAAAACA